AAACAACCAAUGAUGAAGAAAAGUAAUUAAGAAUCACAUGUAAAGAGAAGAAAUGCCUUAGGCUGAAAGCAUUUCUACAUGAUGCCUUAAUGAAAGAACACUUCUGAGGCUUCGCUCUGAAAAAAAUUUUAGUAAGAGAUGAACGUAGGCAGGCGUUAACUGCUUGUAAAGUGGAAGCAUAUGCAUAUAUGCUUCAAUUAGGGUGGCACCACGGGAAUUCCAACUCUCGUCCCUUGU
rnacentral:ncRNA from 1 species